GUGCCAGCAGCCGCGGUAAUACGGAGGAUCCGAGCGUUAUCCGGAUUUAUUGGGUUUAAAGGGUGCGCAGGCGGCCUUGUAAGUCAGCGGUCAAAUCGUGGAGCUCAACUCCAUUCCGCCGUUGAUACUGCCGGGCUUGAUUGCGGUUGAGGUUUGCGGAAUUCGUUGUGUAGCGGUGAAAUGCAUAGAUAUGACGAAGAACUCCGAUUGCGUAGCAGCAGACCAAGCCGUAAAUGACGCUCAUGCACGAAAGUGCGGGGAUCGAACAGGAUUAGAUACCCUGGUAGUCCGCACAGUAAACGAUGAAUACUUGUUUUUGGCGAUAUACGGUCAGAGGCAAAGCGAAAGCGAUAAGUAUUCCACCUGGGGAGUACGCCGGCAACGGUGAAACUCAAAGGAAUUGACGGGGGCCCGCACAAGCGGAGGAACAUGUGGUUUAAUUCGAUGCUACGCGAGGAACCUUACCCGGGCUUGAAAGUUAGUGAAUAUCCUGGAAACAGGAUAGGCCCUUCGGGGACACGAAACUAGGUGCUGCAUGGUUGUCGUCAGCUCGUGCCGUGAGGUGUCGGCUUAAGUGCCUUAACGAGCGCAACCCUUUUCCAUAGUUACCAGCGCGUCAUGGUGGGGACUCUAUGGACACUGCCAUCGUAAGAUGUGAGGAAGGAUGGGAUGACGUCAAAUCAGCACGGCCCUUACGUCCGGGGCGACACACGUGUUACAAUGGGCAGGACAGCAAGGAACCGAGGCGGCGACGCUGAGGAAUCUCGAAACCUGCUCCCAGUUCGGAUUGGAGUCUGCAACCCGACUCCAUGAAGCUGGAUUCGCUAGUAAUCGCGCAUCAGCCAUGGCGCGGUGAAUACGUUCCCGGGCCUUGUACACACCGCCCGU
rnacentral:rRNA from 1 species